GUUGAGGUCUAUCCUAUGGGGCUUCUCCUGUAGAUUCACAGUGUUAGAAAUGCCUCAAGGGGUAGCUAUUGUUUCACCUAGGGGAAGAAGCUACAUGACAGAG
rnacentral:snoRNA from 1 species